rnacentral:rRNA from 1 species
ACAAGCCUGAGAAACGGCUAGUAGGACUAAGGUCUGCAGCAGGCGCGAAACUUACACAAUGGUAGAUUGCUAGUGAAAAUCGACCGAUGUAGUGAAGAAAAAUAACGAUGCGCUUGCCUUUCAAAGGUUAGCGCAAUUGGAAUGAGACGACUCUAAACCAGUCAGUCGAGUAACAAAUGGAGGGCAAGUCUGGUGCCAGCAGCCGCGGUAAUUCCAGCUCCAUUAGCAUACAUUAAAGUUGUUGCGGUUAAAAAGCUCGUAGUUGAAUGUUUGUGUUGCUUUAUUUAAGUUUGUCGCUAAGGUUCCUUCGGGGGCCGACUUACUUUGAUGCAGCAGCAAGUUUCGCCACUUAAUCGAGUGCGGAGCGCGCUUCCUAUCCUAUCUAACGAUGGACAGUAAGCAUGUUUACCUUGAGAAAAUUAGAGUGCUCACAGCAGGCAAUCGGGUUUUAACUAACCCUUACGCCUGAAUAAUGUUGCAUGGAAUAAUAGAAUACGGCCUCGGUUCUAUUCUGUUGGUCUUAUAGAACAACAAAUUGGUUUUCGCCAACGGGUUGUUAAUGCUAGUGUUAUCUUCGACCUAAAAAUCAAAGAUCGCGGCAAACCCGGAAAACCAGAGGCAAUGGUUAAAAGAAAUAGUCGCGGCGGCAUCAGUACUGCAUCGUGAGAG